AGAUUGGAGACUACAUAAGACUUUGACAGAUGGCAGGAAACCCUCAUGAACUGGAUAGAAGCCGGUAGAGGAAUGUCUGCGACUAAGCCGAGGGCCACUGGAUAAGGGUUGUUGAUGGUAAAACAGAUUGGAGACUACAUAAGACUUUGACAGAUGGCAGGAAACCCUCAUGAACUGGAUAGAAGCCGGUAAAUAGAUGGCCGUAAAACAGUGACUUUUGAUUCGUGACGAGUUCUUUCUUACAUACCGCGUGACCUAUCUUUUUUAUUGCUUAAAUCAAUUCGGCUUGGAA